AUACAAGCUUGUUCUUUGGCUUCCUAAGAGGAUGAAGAGGCUGUGCUAAGAUGGCCCCCAAGAUCAAGUUCUGAUGAUGGAGAUAGACCCGUGUGACUGGAGCCAGGGGGAGAUCUUGGCAGAUGAGUCUCUGCAUUUUCCUUUUGACUUAUCCCAGUGCAUAAACCACGAUGGACCAGAAUCUCUGAGCAAACAAAAGCAAAACCUAGAGCCAAAGUCUGUAAUACCUGGAGGGGGAAAAGCAAAUAAAUGGGAUGGAACUGCUGAGGGACAUUGACUCUGCGACAAAUCAAGUGAGAAGCCCAGGAGACCAAGUAGGUCUUUGAAGAUGUAAAAAUAAAAUAAAAUAAUCCCCUAAGGAAAAGUGGAAAGAAGAGGAAACCUCUGUGGAAAACAAGAAAAUGGAUGUUGUGUGGCUAUCAGGGACCCAAAAUAAAAUGGAAUCAGACAGUCAUGACAGAUCUGGGGUUCAGUCAUGUAUUCUGUGUUCUUAGAAAAACCACAAACAACUAUAAAGGACUUCUGCUUCUCCUAAGGGUUGUACCUGAAAAAGCCUCCAAUGAGAAGCUUCAGUGAUAGCCAAUCAUUGAAGACUUGCGGUUAGACUGUUAAGACUUAUGGUCAGGCUGCAAGAACCACACAAUCCCCUUUGCUGUUCCCCCAACUGUGACUUCUGCAGCUUUUGCUUCUAAAAAAUUCCUCAUCCCCUUCACUCUCCAGGGAUGUAUUUUCAGUAUGUAUCUCCAGUUUGCAAACCUUGCACAACCUCACA